rfam:Mycobacterium wolinskyi strain CDC_01 Contig_11, whole genome shotgun sequence.
GCGCUCGUGGCGGAAUUCGGCAUACGCGCCCGGCUCAAAACCGGGUGCCCAACACGGGCAUGCAGGUUCAAGUCCUGCCGAGCGCA